ensembl:lncRNA
GGUUACACCUACCAUGGUUUCUUAAGAUGGAUUCACUGGGCUUCCUCUAGCUCUCGUUACAAACUCCCAUAAGUUUUUAAGGCAAAACUUCUUUUCAGCUUUGGAAAAAUGACAGCAAGUGAUCCACUGUCCAGUAUUUAUUCCUUAAGGUUGUGCCUAAAGGCCACAGAAGGAACAUCAGCUUCCUGACUGCUUUGAGCACUUGUCUGGAUUUAGCAAUUCAGGUGACUAGUCAGUGCCUCUCCUGAUUCGCUCCCCCAUCCCUCUGAGGGAGAGCAAGCGAAUGGCUCUUAACCUGCAGUUAAACCACACCAACAGCAAUACUUUAUUUGCACUGAACUGCCUUACAGCUCAUUCAUACUCCCUCUAUAACCAAGCGGAGCUGACUACUUGCAGAGAUGGACCUUUGGAUUUCCGAGGUGCUGCCUGUGCCAAAUACUUCUGCUGCUGGCUCAUGUCACAGUCCCAGCGUGGGAGCUGUGCUGGAGAUGUCUGGGAGCUCAGCUUGGCUACUGCUGCCCUACACAAAGUUUCCACUCCGUUUUCUCUCUCUUCUUAGUUUUGAAAUGAGCUGCACUGAUUCUCAAAUCCUUAAAAAACCUUUGGUACCAAGUGGGAUCCUGCAUGUACUUCCCACCAUCUCCUCCUGCGCUCCUACUCAGGGAGAAGGCUUUCUCCGGCUUUGGGAUUGUUCACUUUGAAAACGGAUGGCUGUUUCUGCAUUUUUUUUUUCGUAGGCCAGAGCAGCUUCCUUUCCAUGGCACAAACCAGAAAUUUACUUACAUUCCUUGCUCGCCUAGUUAAGCUUUGCCACAACUCAGAGCUCUGUCUUGAACGGAACUGAACUUUGACAUUUUCUCUUCCAACUUUAUGAGUUCAAAAUGCCACGCUACUGGGGAACAGAAUCCCAGAACUGAGCUGUUUUUCUCUAACCCCCAGCGAGAGACUAUAUCAAGACAGGAAAAAAUGCACUGUACAUUAAGCUGCUCUUCACCCUCCUGGGCAAACAGCCCUGCAGAUGCCUCUCUUGGCAUGGGGCUGUGCUUCCAGGCGAGCGGCACACACACCCUACAGCUGCUGGGGCAGGGCAACAGAAGUCAUCAUGCCCACAUGUGGAAGAGCACGUCUGAACUCUCCGUGUCUGUCUGUCUUCCCAAAUGCACAGGAUCACUUACCCCAUGAAAUCACUGCAACGUGUACUCCAUUCGCCUUGCUCUGUGACAUGAUUUCUUGACUGUUAUGCUGGGAUCCAGUGAUGGAUGCGGCUCCUCCAGGAUGCUUGCCCUUACCACCUGCCGUCACAUCCCAUUCAGACAUACAGAAAGGACAGUGGCUAUUUUUAAAAAGAGGAAAAGCAGUACCAAUAGAAUUGGUCUGGUUUUGAUCCACAAAAACUUGGACUUAGCGGUACUUCUACUGUGUGCCUACCAUUGCAGGUGCAGUGUACAAGUUAUCAGGGAUUUCACACAGUGUAUUUUAACCUGUGUGCAAAACCAGGCUCCCUGAAAGAAUGUGAAAGUCGUGACAAUUAAUUUACCACAGCCAGUAACAUUAAAAAUCCUGCUCUCUGUGUUAAGCUCAUGAUGUGCCUCAGCUAUUGCUCGUUUCCCACAUUCUAAAAACAAUAUAGCAGUCUUUCUUCACAUUAAGCACAAUAAUGGUGCGACGUUGCCAUGACUGGAAGCAAUUGUUAAACAGAUCUCCUUAUUAUAUAUAAUUACCUCACUGUCUAAGCAAGCAGCCACACAGAGCAGCUUAAUUUUUCUUAAAUUUAAUUGAAAUCUGACAGUAUUGCAAACUCUCA